UCGGGAAUUUUGGGCAAUGGGCGAAAGCCUGACCCAGCAACGCCGCGUGAAGGAUGAAGUAUUUCGGUAUGUAAACUUCGAAAGAAUAGGAAGAAUAAAUGACGGUACUAUUUAUAAGGUCCGGCUAACUACGUGCCAGCAGCCGCGGUAAUACGUAGGGACCAAGCGUUGUUCGGAUUUACUGGGCGUAAAGGGCGCGUAGGCGGCAAUUCAAGUCAUCUGUGAAAUCUCCGGGCUUAACUCGGAACGGUCAGAUGAUACUGCUUUGCUAGAGUGCAGAAGGGGCAAUCGGAAUUCUUGGUGUAGCGGUGAAAUGCGUAGAUAUCAAGAGGAACACCUGAGGUGAAGACGGGUUGCUGGGCUGACACUGACGCUGAGGCGCGAAAGCGUGGGGAUCAAACAGGAUUAGAUACCCACGUAGUCCCUGAGCGGGCUGGCAAGGCGCAU
rnacentral:rRNA from 1 species